CGGUGUGGUGACAUGUCUGGUCUAUUCCGCUAACGGACGAGACCUACAAGCGUAACAGCCAACGUGAGUUGGAGGAAGUGUAGUCUAAAACA
rnacentral:rRNA from 1 species